CUAGAAAAGUAAUAAGAGGGAAUUAGGUGAAAAUCCUAGACAGUCCCGCUGCUGUAAUUCUCAUUAUUGGUGAUAGACAAAAGAAUGACUUUAAAAAGCCACUGGAUUAUUCUGGGAAGGCGUCUAUUUACUGAGAUAAGUCAGAAGACCUGCUAUUGUAAUC
rnacentral:ncRNA from 1 species